GACGAACGCUGGCGGCGUGCUUAACACAUGCAAGUCGAACGAAGUGGCGCACGGGCGAGUAACGCGUAAUCAACCUGCCCUUCAGAGGGGGACAACAGUUGGAAACGACUGCUAAUACAGCAUACUGAAGGAGGGGAUUGUGUCUGAAUGGUCAGUUGGAGGGGUAACGGCUCACCAAGGCGAUGAUCAGUCGCCGGUCUGAGAGGAUGAACGGCCACAUUGGGACUGAGACACGGCCCAGGCUCCUACGGGAGGCAGCAGUGGGGAAUCUUCCGCAAUGGACGAAAGUCUGACGGAGCAAAGCCGCGUGAGUGAUGACGGCCUUCGGGUUGUAAAGCUCUGUUAAUCGGGACGCGGUACCGGAAUAGAAAGCCACGGCUAACUACGUGCCAGCAGCCGCGGUAAUAC
rnacentral:rRNA from 1 species